GUCUGGGUGGUGUAGUUGGUUAUCACGCUAGUCUCACACACUAGAGGUUCCCAGUUCGAACCUGGGCUCAGACA